rnacentral:rRNA from 1 species
GACGAACGCUGGCGGCGUGCUUAACACAUGCGAGUCGAACGGAAAGGCCCUGCUUUUGUGGGGUGCUCGAGUGGCGAACGGGUGAGUAACACGUGAGUAACCUGCUCUUGACUUUGGGAUAACUUCAGGAAACUGGGGCUAAUACCGGAUAGGAGCUCCUGCUGCAUGGUGGGGGUUGGAAAGUUUCGGCGGUUGGGGAUGGACUCGCGGCUUAUCAGCUUGUUGGUGGGGUAGUGGCUUACCAAGGCUUUGACGGGUAGCCGGCCUGAGAGGGUGACCGGCCACAUUGGGACUGAGAUACGGCCCAGACUCCUACGGGAGGCAGCAGUGGGGAAUAUUGCACAAUGGGCGGAAGCCUGAUGCAGCAACGCCGCGUGCGGGAUGACGGCCUUCGGGUUGUAAACCGCUUUCGCCUGUGACGAAGCGUGAGUGACGGUAAUGGGUAAAGAAGCACCGGCUAACUACGUG